ensembl:miRNA
CUAUGUGUUGUAUGUAUGUGUGCAUAUACAUGCAUGUGUAAUAAAUACAUAAGACUGUACAUGCAGAUCCUUGUCAUGGCUCAUAUAAUCAACAUA